rnacentral:rRNA from 1 species
UUAAACCGGAGGAAGGUGGGGAUGACGUCAAGUCCUCAUGGCCUUUAUGACCAGGGCUACACACGUACUACAAUGGCCGAUACAAAGGGCAGCGACACUGCGAGGUGAAGCCAAUCCCGUAAAAUCGGUCUCAGUCCGGAUUGGAGUCUCGCAACUCGACUCCAUGAAGUUGGAAUCGCUAGUAAUCGUGGAUCAGCAUGCCACGGUGAAUACGUUCCCGGGCCUU